rnacentral:rRNA from 1 species
GACGAAGGAUGCAAGCGUUAUCCGGAUUCAUUGGGUUUAAAGGGAGCGUAGGUGGCCUUAUAAGUCAGUGGUGAAAUCCCGCAGCUUAACUGUGGAAUUGCCAUUGAUACUGUAGGGCUUGAGUACAGAUGCCGUUGGCGGAAUAUGACAUGUAGUGGUGAAAUACAUAGAGAUGUCAUAGGACACCGAUUGCGAAGGCAGCUGACGAAACUGUAACUGACACUGAGGCUCGAAAGUGCGGGGAUCAAACAGG